rnacentral:rRNA from 1 species
CAGCAGCCACGAUAAGACAGAGGAUGCAAGCGUUAUCCGGAAUGAUUGGGCGUAAAGCGUCUGUAGGUGGCUUUUCGAGUCCGCCGUCAAAUCCCAGGGCUCAACCCUGGACAGGCGGUGGAAACUACCAAGCUGGAGUACGGUAGGGGCAGAGGGAAUUUCCGGUGUAGCGGUGAAAUGCGUAGAGAUGUGGAGGAACACCAGUGGCGAAGGCGACUCUCUGGUCUGUAACUGACGCUGAGGAGCGAAAGCGUGGGGAGCGAACAGGAUUAGAUACCCCGGUAGUCCCUGUCUCUUAUAC